UGGGGAAUAUUGCGCAAUGGGCGGAAGCCUGACGCAGCGACGCCGCGUGGGGGAUGACGGCCUUCGGGUUGUAAACCUCUUUCAGCAGGGACGAAGCGGAAGUGACGGUACCUGCAGAAGAAGCACCGGCCAACUACGUGCCAGCAGCCGCGGUAAUACGUAGGGUGCAAGCGUUGUCCGGAAUUAUUGGGCGUAAAGAGCUCGUAGGCGGUUUGUUGCGUCGGCUGUGAAAUCCCGAGGCUCAACCUCGGGUCUGCAGUCGAUACGAGCAAACUAGAGUGUUGCAGGGGAGACUGGAAUUCCUGGUGUAGCGGUGAAAUGCGCAGAUAUCAGGAGGAACACCGGUGGCGAAGGCGGGUCUCUGGGCAACAACUGACGCUGAGGAGCGAAAGCGUGGGGAGCGAACAG
rnacentral:rRNA from 1 species